AACUGUUUAAUUAAAGCAAACAUCGCAAGGCCCGGAGGAGGACGUUGAAGCAAUGUGAUUUCGGUCCAGUGCUUGAAUACCAAAGUGAAGAAAUGUAAUGAAGCGCGGGUAAAUGGCAGGGGUAUCUAUGACUCUCUUAAGGUAGCCAAAUGCCCCUUUAUCUAAUCACAACUUUUCUUACAGUAACUCUCUGAGAAUUGCU
rnacentral:ncRNA from 1 species